rnacentral:tRNA from 1 species
GUGGGUAUAGCUCAGUGGUAGAGCACAUGCUUAGCAUGCACGAGGUCCUGAGUUCAAUCCCCAGGACCUCCA